ACAGAGGUGGCAAGCGUUGUUCGGAAUUACUGGGCGUAAAGGGCGCGUAGGCGGUCUCGUAAGUCCCGCGUGAAAUCCCCCGGCUCAACUGGGGAAUGGCGCGGGAAACUGUGAGGCUUGAGUUCGGGAGAGGGAAGCGGAAUUCCGGGUGUAGCGGUGAAAUGCGUAGAUAUCCGGAGGAACACCGGUGGCGAAGGCGGCUUCCUGGACCGACACUGACGCUGAGGCGCGAAAGCUAGGGGAGCAAACGGGA
rnacentral:rRNA from 1 species